CCAACCCAUGUGAACGUUACCAAACUGUUGCCUCGGCGGGAUCUCUGCCCCGGGUGCGUCGCAGCCCCGGACCAAGGCGCCCGCCGGAGGACCAACCAAAACUCUUUUUGUAUACCCCCUCGCGGGUUUUUUAUAAUCUGAGCCUUCUCGGCGCCUCUCGUAGGCGUUUCGAAAAUGAAUCAAAACUUUCAACAACGGAUCUCUUGGUUCUGGCAUCGAUGAAGAACGCAGCGAAAUGCGAUAAGUAAUGUGAAUUGCAGAAUUCAGUGAAUCAUCGAAUCUUUGAACGCACAUUGCGCCCGCCAGUAUUCUGGCGGGCAUGCCUGUCCGAGCGUCAUUUCAACCCUCGAACCCCUCCGGGGGGUCGGCGUUGGGGAUCGGCCCUGCCUCUUGGCGGUGGCCGUCUCCGAAAUACAGUGGCGGUCUCGCCGCAGCCUCUCCUGCGCAGUAGUUUGCACACUCGCAUCGGGAGCGCGGCGCGUCCACAGCCGUUAAACACCCAACUUCUGAAAUGUUGACCUCGGAUCAGGUAGGAAUACCCGCUGAACUUAAGCAUAUCAAU
rnacentral:rRNA from 1 species